UGGAAUGUUCUGUCUGCAAUCUAUACCUCUUGCUGUUACUAUACUGAGCCUGUCCUCCUUUGCAAAAAGCUUUGAGAUUUACUGAUGAAAAGUGCUCGUUGAAAAGUAGAUAUUAUUUAUUAUUAUUAUUAUUAUUAUUAUUAAGUCUUUUCUUCUCUGUGAUUCCAGUUUCUCAGCUACCAAAGUUCAGGUUCUAUUCCUGCUGUUGCACUGACCUCUGGUGCCUUGGAAAGAAUUGGAAAGGACAGGUAACCCAUGUCCGUUCUUUCAAAGUAUUCCUCAACUCUGUCUGAUUCACACAUAAGCUUCUGCCCAGUUCAGGAGCCUGGCUGUGACAAUUCCCCUUGCCACCUUGCAGAGAUUGAUGCUCUUGUGUGAGUGGAAGUUCGCCAACAUUUGAUGCCGUUUUACUAAUUCUGGCCCCAAUCCAUGGGUGUGGACUGCAGCACAGAGCUCCACUAUAAACAAAGGGUCUCUCUGUAGGUGCAGGGAGUUCUAUUUCAGGAGCCUUAGUGCACAGUAGAACUACAAGUAUAACCACACAGCAGUUAAACUUUGAUGCAUGGAGAGGACCUAACUGUGUCCCCCUUAUUUAUUUCUGUAAUGGGCCACAAGGGCGAUGGUUUUGCUCCGAGUAGUUCCUCACGCUGCUCCCUUCAUCUCAAUUGACCAACUCUUCAUUUAAUUUACAUUCCUUCCUAGCUCUUUUUAUUUCUAAUUAAGACAAUUUGUCACGUAAUUACAAUCAUGUUUAUCUUUGUGACACUCAAUGACCUGGGCCCAGGGUAUCCAAAAGAUCGAAAGCUCCAGGAUGAAGACCAUAGUUGUCAAUGGCACUCCUCUGGCUCAGUGGAAUGGCAGGUUCCAGCUUUCCUGUGUUUGGAAACUCAGCGUUCUUGGGGGCCAGUCCCAGCCUGUGAAAUGAACUGGCCCAGGAACUAAGGACCACCACUCACCUCACUACCUCCACUCAAAGUGUAAGGCACCUGUCUUCUCAAACACAAACCCAGAGCAGCGUGGACAUUU